rnacentral:rRNA from 1 species
GUGGGGAAUAUUCCGCAAUGGACGAAAGUCUGACGGAGCAACGCCGCGUGAGUGAUGAAGGUUUUCGGACUGUAAAGCUCUGUUGUUUAGGACGAAAGUGCCUGUUGUGAACAGUUACAGGUAUUGACGGUACUAAACGAGGAAGCCACGGCUAACUAUGUGCCAGCAGCCGCGGUAAUACGUAGGUGGCAAGCGUUGUCCGGAAUUAUUGGGCGUAAAGAGCAUGUAGGCGGAGAUUUAAGUCUGUUGUGAAAAUGCGGGGCUCAACCCCGUAUUGCGAUGGAAACUGAAUUUCUUGAGUGCAGGAGAGGAAAGGGGAAUUCCCAGUGUAGCGGUGAAAUGCGUAGAUAUUGGGAGGAACACCAGUGGCGAAGGCGCCUUUCUGGACUGUGUCUGACGCUGAGAUGCGAAAGCCAGGGUAGCGAACGGGAUUAGAUACCCGAGUAGUCC